GACGGAAACGACUGAUAAGACCUGGUAAAGUCAGGCGGACUCAUGUCCAGCCUGAUGAAAAGAGAUGCUGCAGGAGAGCCUUGCGUCCUAUUAGCUUGUUGGUGGGGUAACGGCCCACCAAGGCAAUGAUAGGUAGCCGGCCUGAGAGGGUGGACGGCCACAAGGGGACUGAGAUACGGCCCUUACUCCUACGGGAGGCAGCAGUGGGGAAUAUUGGACAAUGGGGGCAACCCUGAUCCAGCAAUUCUGUGUGCACGACGAAGGUUUUCGGAUUGUAAAGUGCUUUCAGCAGGGAAGAAAAAAAUGACGGUACCUGCAGAAGAAGCGACGGCUAAAUACGUGCCAGCAGCCGCGGUAAUACGUAUGUCGCAAGCGUUAUCCGGAAUUAUUGGGCAUAAAGGGCAUCUAGGCGGCCAGAUAAGUCUGGGGUGAAAACUUGCGGCUCAACCGCAAGCCUGCCCUGGAAACUAUGUGGCUAGAGUACUGGAGAGGUGGACGGAACUGCACGAGUAGAGGUGAAUUCGUAGAUAUGUGCAGGAAUGCCGAUGAUGAAGAUAGUUCACUGGACGGUAACUGACGCUGAAGUGC
rnacentral:rRNA from 1 species